AUUAAAAUCGGGGAGACGGAACAACUUCAAUUGCGUCAAGUCAAAAUUGGAUGGGAAAAGCAUAAGAUAGGGAAAGGCGGUAGCUUCUUGUAACUAGUAUAAGCGUUAACAAAAUAAUUCAAAGAACUGGUUACGAAGUAGCAUUGUACCGUACCUGAUGAGCAAUUGAACGAACCCUAUGAUCCACUCUGUUUCCCAAAACUAAACAUCCCACUAA